rnacentral:rRNA from 1 species
CUACGGGGCGCACCAGUGGGGAAUAUUGCACAAUGGGCGCAAGCCUGAUGCAGCCAUGCCGCGUGUAUGAAGAAGGCCUUCGGGUUGUAAAGUACUUUCAGCGGGGAGGAAGGGAGUAAAGUUAAUACCUUUGCUCAUUGACGUUACCCGCAGGAGGAGCACCGGCUAACUCCGUGCCAGCAGCCGCGGUAAUACGGAGGGUGCAAGCGUUAAUCGGAAUUACUGGGCGUAAAGCGCACGCAGGCGGUUUGUUAAGUCAGAUGUGAAAUCCCCGGGCUCAACCUGGGAACUGCAUCUGAUACUGGCAAGCUUGAGUCUCGUAGAGGGGGGUAGAAUUCCAGGUGUAGCGGUGAAAUGCGUAGAGAUCUGGAGGAACACCGGUGGCGAAGGCGGCCCCCUGGACGAAGACUGACGCUCAGGUGCGAAAGCGUGGGGAGCAAACAGGAUUAGAUACCCUUGUAGUC